rnacentral:tRNA from 1 species
GACACUAUGGCCGAGUGGUUAAGGCGUGUGACUAGAAUCGGUCUCCGAUCAGCAAUCACAUGGGUUCGCCCGGUUAGUACAUCUCCUCUCCAUCCGACAACAACUAUCAACUAACAAGUCAAAUAGCACAGGUUCAAGUCCUGUUGGUGUCG